UAUAUUAUUUCAUUUUAUUUUUGAAUUUUCUUGUCAUAAUCACAGUAAUUAAAUUUCACAAACACAUACAUGUAUAUUUUACCUGAGACACAUGACCUGUAAGUUAUAUAAUUUUAACACUUCAAUGCAGUCAAGAUUUCCCUUUAUCCUUGGCUAGUUUUUGAUUAAUACCUUGUGUAUUAAUUAAGCGACAGGGGGUAUAAUGAUGGACAUAUAGGGCCAC
rnacentral:lncRNA from 1 species